GGGCUCCACCUACUCUCUGACUUCAGAGGGCUGCUUGAAUGCCUCAAGUGUGAUUGAUGCUAAAUAACUUCCACAAUGUUUCUUAGCACUCAGAGUUCUACCUUUUUUGCCUCAGAUUCUAAUUAAUAAUCAUAAUUAAUCUAAUCACAGAUCACAAUCCUCAUUUUAUUAAUACAUAAUCAAAAUCUAAUCGAUAAUCACAAUUCUAGCUUUUUGUCUCAUGAUUCUAACUAAUAAUCAUAAUUAAUCAUCAUACUAGUGUUUUUGUCUAGAUCUUUUAUCUCCUUUAGAAAUGUUCAGCCUUUUAUUUUUAAACUUGCUAUGUCUGCAGUGUCUAUGGUAUCUCGUGGCAAUGGGUUCCAUAGUUUUAGCAGCACAUUGUAUGAAAAAAUACUUUCUUUUGGUUUUGAACACUCCACAUUUCCUUUUCCUUCAAUGCCCCUUGUUCUUAUCCUGGGAAAACAGAAGCUCCCCCCCUCCCCCCCAUUUUCUUUAAGCUAUUUGUUAUUUUAUUACCAUUUAUCAUGUGCCCUGUCCUAGGUAACAAGCCCACUCUUCCAGGGUGACAAAUGUAACGCACACGCUUGAGAUUGUGUGUAGUAAGGUUUAUGUUGCUGUGUAUCUUGUUUAUGCUGUAUAUUUUGCCUCUAGGACUAAAAGAGAACCACGCCUCUCCCCCUCGUCUUAAGAUUCCCAUCAAGGGACCUGUGGAACCAGUUUGGUGACUCUGGCCACUUCACCCUGAGUGCUGACCACCUUUGCAUUCCCUGGUCUGCAUUAGCAGUGUUCAAAUGAUGCUGCUUCUGGUUGAACCAGGUGAUGAUGUCAGAAAAGUGAUUUGAGGGUCAGGUCACUUGGGCUGGGUCUCUUUUUCCUCCUGAGGCUAUUGAAGCCAGAAAGCUGAAUUGGAAGCCAGAAAAGGCUGUUCCCUAUUGGGGGGGAGAGAGGUCUCCCCUCUGCUCUUCACUGGAGAAGCAAAUUGAAGCUCUUCUUUUCCCUUCUAUUUUUCUGAGUUUUGAGUGGGAUGAUUCCAUGGUUGGGGUAUCAGUCCCUGCAGCAAACUAGCCAAGGUUGGAGCCUGGCAGUUUUGCUGGUGCACUCUGAGCCAGGGCUGAGAGCCUGGCAUGUUUUAGUUGCUGUUGCAACUUCUUUUGGUUUCAGCAUAACUGUGUUGCUGAACCCCAGCUACGUGUCUUGCUGGUAGCUUUGGCCACACAGGCCUUGAGUGGGAUGAUGCCAUGAGUAUAUUUUUCCCUAGUGCAGACUGACCAGGAAACAGGGUCCUGGCAGUCACUGGCCCCUGUGUUGGGAAUUGUAGUUCUCAGUAUGGUGGUAUAGCUGAGCAGCCAAAAGCCUGGGCUCUUUUUUGCUGUUUCACAGCUGUUGCAUUUCAGCCCACCUGUGUGGGGUUGAACCCCAGCCAUACAUUUGGCUGGCACUUCUUGUUGUUUAUCCAGGCCUCAGUGGUAUGUAGGCCUGGCCAGCUUUUUGCUGUCCAGUCCAGGUCCAGCGAAAUAGGCCUGGGCCUCCUUUUGUCCCUCUUGCAGUUUAUGCCCCAACCAAGCGGUGUGGUUGGCCACUAGUUGCCAAGAUAGCCUGGCCCCCCUUUUGGUGUUUCAUAGCUGUUAGAUCUCAGCAUAGUAGUGUAGCCGAGACUAAAUGUCCAGGCUGCAGCCAAAUAGGCCUGGUGCUCUUUUGUUGUAUGUUCAGGCCUUGGUGCAGGACAGGCCUGAGCCCCCCCUUUUACUGUUUUACAGAUGUUGUGUCUCAUCAUAGCUGUGUUGCUGAGCCCCGCUAUACAUUUGCUGUAUGUCUGGGCCUGGCAUGGGGCCUGGCACAUGUUGAUUUUGCAGCUCUGUGUCCUAACCUAGUAGCGUGGUUGACACUAGUUGCAGUACAGGCUCUUUUGCUGUUUGGCUGGCUUUUGUUUUAACUUCUUUUGCAGUUUUCUGCCCCAGCAAAACUGGGAUUAGGACUAGAAACUUGGGGGUGCAAUAUGCAGAUGACAACUGCAGUUAACCCCCUCAAAGCCACCAUGUGGAAGUAGAGAUCAGCACUACAGCUUCUCAGGGAACAACAAGGGCCCCUUGCAACACAAAAGGACCUACGCUUUAGCAGCUCCCUGCGGCGCAGUGGAUCCAUGGAGCAGCUCAUAGGACUUUCUGAUGGAAUAACCAGUGCUCCAUGACUGCAAGUGAAAUUGAGAGUCACAACUUGCUGACCCUACAAGUUUCUCUACACAGGGCGAACAUUCUGGGUACGAAAAGUGUUCUCUAAUCUAGCAGAGGAAGGCAGAACAAGAGGUAGCGUGUGGAAGCUGAAGCUGGAGACACUUGGAUUAGAAAUAAAACACAAAAGUUUAACAAGUGCAAGUGACUGGAACAAACUCUUAAGGAAAGAGUUUUGACUUUACAACGCUUGAUCCGAUGUGAUGCCAUGCCAGCGAACAAGUUUGCCAUGUCACCCAUCUCCCUGGAGAAUAUCUGUCCAAACUUCCUUGGACACUUUCUUUAAGAAAGCAGACAAGACUCCAGAAAAACCUGCAGCCAAGACUCCUGAGAAGACUCCAGCCAAGAACCCUUCAAAAAGUCCAGCAAAGUCACCUCAGAGAAGUCCUUCCAAAUCAAUAUGAUUGCUAUUUACAAUAUAAAUAUAUUCAUGUAGCUAUAUUACUCAUCUAUAAUUGAUCGAGUACAAAAUUCUGUGGUAUUUUUGGUGAAAAUAGGGUAUCAGGCCUUGGUUCAGGAACCAAUCUCCCAUUUAUAACAUUGUUUCUUAUGAGAAAAUUGGUUCCGAGUUACAACGUUUUGACUUAAGACAUGGUUUUCAGGAACCAAUUGUGUGGUAAGUCUGAGGACUGCCUGUAUGGCUAUCAGAGAAGCAUGCAUUCCUCUGAUCUCAGUCAUAAAAACCUGGGCCUAAGCACAGCAGAGGAGGGGUUGCAGGGGUCUUUGUUCAGGCUAUAGCUGUUUUGCUCAUCUGGUGAUUUUUGUAGUGAAUAUUGAGAUAUUUGAUGUCUGUCUCAAAGCCUCAGUGUCUGGAAACAUUUCCAUUUUUAUUUUAUUAAAAUGUAUUUCUGGUCCUCAUGACUAGAGAAGAACUUGGAAGUGUGAAGCAAGUUUAACUCUAAAGGUUCAGAAAUCAGAAAGCAAAGAACAAGCAUGCACAAGUCAAGGAUUUUUGUGGGUGAUUUCUUUUAUUGGCCCAACUGCAGGGUUGGGAUAGAUAUGGACAGACAAGCUUUCAAGUGCAAGGCACUUCUUCAGGUCUGAGGAAAAAAACAAGCACAGCUUGAGCUAAGGUUAAGCAUGUUACUUCUUGAAGCAAUGCCUUAAAAAUAACUAAAGAACAAGUAUUCUAUCUCUUUAGAAUCUCGUAGUGUUUAUAGAUUCAUAGAUUGAUAGAUUGUAAGGCUGGAUGGGACCUCGGGUGAUCAUUGGGUCUAGCCCCCCUGCACUAGGUAGGAAAGACAACUGGGGGUCAGGUGACCCCAGCAAGGUGACUGUUUACUCUCCUCUUGAAGGAUUCCUGGGUAGGUGAUUGCACCACCUCUGGAGGGAGUUUAUUCCACAGUCUGGACACCCUGAUUAUGAAGAAGUUUUUCCUAAUGUUGAGCCUGAAUCGAUCUUCCAGGAGUUUAUGGUCAUUACUCCUGGUUUUCCAAUCGGGUGCCCUGGUGAACAGUUCCUCACCGAACCCUUGAUGUAUUCCCCUAGGGUAGUGGUAAGCUCCUACCAGGUCCCCUCUCAGUCUUCUUUUCCUCAGGCUGAAGAGUCCCAGAUCCCUCAGCCUUUCCUUGUAUGGCUUCCUGUGUAAGACUCUGAUCAUAUGGGUGGCUCUUCUUUGGACUCUCUCAAGCCUGUCCACGUCCUUGUUAAAGUAUGGUGCCUAGAACUGGACGCAGUACUCCAGCUGCGGUCUCACCAGUGCUGAGUAGAGUUUCAGUUAAUCUCUACUUUUCUCUAUUAAUUUCUAUUUUUAGACAUUUUUAGGAGUCAGGAUUUUAUUUUCAAUAUUUUUUUCUCUGUUAAUUUCUAUUUUUCUCUGAGUUUAAGUUCAUCUCUCUUCUUUUUUUUUUUUUUUUGCUGGAGGGGAUGUGAUUAAUUAUUUUUAAUAUUUGGAAGUAAGCAGGACUGAAACAGGUUGAACUCUCUCCCUUCCAUUCCAGAAAGGGGGAUUGUCUUGAUCCACUCUGGAAAAUCUGGUGCUCUUUGUGAGAGCCACUGCUGUAUGCCCCAGCCAAACUAUCUUAUUCAACUGUAUGUGCAGGCUCAAAGCAAAAGCAUCUCAUGAGCAGUUGAAAAGAGUGCUGUAAUACCUUGGGAAAAUCCUUCCUCUCCAACUUCUUGACUAGCCACAGGAGAUUUGUGCCUGGGCACAUCUACACAAAAUUUUAAUGCAAUGCAAUAAACUCCACUGUAAUUUGCGCUGGAGUUUAUUUCUCCUGGGCGUAGCAUUUACACGUGCACCCAGAACAACAGUAUGUUGAACCAGGGUGAUACAGCCCCAGCUGGCAGGAAGCCCAGGGUGUCAGCCUGCCAGCCCAAAGCUGUUUCCCCCUGGCUCAACAUGCUGCAGAGGGGCUGGCUGGGGCAUGAGAGUGCUACAGUGCAGAGGUAGCUGGCAGGCAGCCCUCUCAGUGUAGCACCUUCAUGCCCCAGCCAGCCCUAGUCAUCGUCUACACAUGUGUUGUGGUGGAGUAAAUAAUUCCGCUGUACUUGUGUCAGGCAGUUGGGUCAACACAUCUUGCCAUACUGACAGCCCCACUCCCCCCUUCCUGCCUCCCUGGCAGGCUGCACAGCCAGGCCACAGCAGCCACAAGGGAGGCAGUCAGGAUUUUAUUUUCAGUAAUAUUUUUUUCAGGGAGCCCACCAAAAACACUGAGUCACUAUUCUAAAUAACCAUGUUUAUCAGUUUCUGUGUGUCAUAUUUUCUACCAGGAUGGCCCACUUCUCACAAGGCAAUCACUCCCUCUCAGAUCUCUCAGUUCUAAUCCUCAAAGGGAACUUACAAAACACCUUUUGUAGAUAAGCCUAUGAACUUCACUUCAUAAAUCUACUGGAUACAAAAAAUCAUGGGCUGAAUAUAGACAUUGGAUUUAUGACAUAUUACAACCUGCCUGACAUCUGAUUCACCAGGUACCUGCUAGACCUGACCUCUUACACUUUUCUUUCCCUUAUUCCUCCCCUCUUUUUCUGCCCUUUGUCUUCUUAAUUUCCAGUAAUUUACUUUUUCACAGACAGCCUCUUUUUUACCUUGAAAAUCUGUAGUCUCCCUUACUCACCUUUGGCUUCCCCCCCCCCCCCAUUUCGCCCCAUUCCCUCUCCCCUUCCCUGCUGUACCUUUUGUUUUCCUAAUUUCUACCUAUUUACAUUCUCAUUGACAUCCUGUCACACUUUUAGCUUCUUUCAUUCCUUGGAGACUCAAAACAGAAGAGACUCUAUGCCUGAAGAAGGGUGAUUGCACCUGAAAACUUGCGAAGAACUUUUUUCCAACUACUCAGUUAGUCUAAUAAAAGAUAUCACAUCUACCCAAAGAGCCUUGCCUGCCUGUGUCCUUUGAUCAACACAGCUACAACCCAAAAUCCAGAAUCUUAGGGUAGAAACAGAUGUUGCUCAAUGUCACAUAUAUGCCGCUAUAAACAUUUUUAUCAUGGCACAAAUGAUGAGCAAAUAGAUGUCUCUAACUCUUUGUUGUACCACAUCAGUGGCUGCAACACAAACUAGUGUAAAACAGUGCCACUUUAUUGCCACAUAUGUCUAUUUGCUCUGUGGCAAGAGAAUGUGGGCCACCUGGAACUGGCUACGUUCUCUGGCCACCCCAGGUGCUCCAGGGGCCUGAUCCUCAGCACCCUGGGAAUUCCCAUGUAUGAUCAGGUCCCUCAAGCUCUCAGAAUAGCUGUUUGGCUUUCCUCGCUUACAGAGAUGUACCUAUGGUAAAUAUCAGGACACCUUUUUGUAAGUGGGGAAAGUUAGGGCUGUGCCUCCAUGCUGGGACCCACACUUGGUCCCACACUGACCAGUGCUUCAUAUGGAGACAGAGGUCAGUACAGGUUCUCACAAGGAGGACGGGAUAAUGUAGGACCUGGGAAACUUCCAGCACCCUAUGCCUCCACACCCAGGAUCUGUGCUGACCCAUGCAUCUGCAUGAAGCAUGGGUCAGUGUGGGACCCAGCAUGGGAAUUUCUGGCUGGGAAUUUCCCAGGUCCUGUGCCACCCCGCACUUUCUUUCCAGGACCUAGGCUGACCCAUGCUUCAUGAGGAGACACGGGUCAGCCUAGGUCCCAGUGUGAAUGCGUGAGACUCCAGGGAUUUCCUGGCUCCUGCACUUCCUUACUCUGCUAUGCCAACUUGCUCUGGGACCUGUGCCACCCCCUGCCUGUGCAUGAGGCAUGGUUUGGCAUGGACUCAGCACAGAGCCUGACAGAGUAAUGGGGUAGUGAGGGACUCGGGGAAUCUUUGAGCAAGGGGAACACAUUCAGAGGUGGAUCAAUGGGGGAGGGGAAGUGCAGUGGUGCACUUACACCUCUCUUUGAUUCCUGGUUGAUUCAGAGUUUAAAACCAACUGCCUGGGAGUGGCAGCAACAUUUCUUGUCAGGCAGUGCUGAGGGUCAAUGGACUUCAUGGCUCAUUACAAUCUAUCUUCUCCCUUCUAAACUUUUCAUUUCACAGGUGUUAAUGAACUUCUCUUCUUUUUAAUGGUCUUGAGGUUCCAUUAGUCAAGUUAUCUUUUGUUCUUCCAUUCUGCUGUCUGUUCCUGACUCCUGGUAAUGAAGCUCCUAUUUCACAGCCCUGCAGAUUGUUUUUUGUUUUUGCUCCAAUCUUAAACUGAAUAAUAUAGCCCUAGGCCCUUAGCAUAUUGAUAAAGCUUCUAGUUUAUUUUUAACUGAAGAAAAAUACAUGUUGUUUUAUAUGGGCUGAGGCACCAUACCAUCUGUACAAACCUUUUCAACAUUCUAGAUCCACCCAUGAACUCAUUGCCUGUUGUCACACAUUGGGCCCCUGCUCGAUGUGGGAUGAUAGGCAACAUGUGUUUCACCCAAGAAAAUGAAAUCAGCUAUGGCAGGAUGUAUCCUGUGACAGAUAAUCAACUUCAUUUGACAACAUCUGUUUCUACCCUUAGAGACAAACUGGUUCAGAGAAGCGUAAGUUGAGGCACGACUGGGCAGUGGACAUCGAGGGAUACAGGCUGUACAGGCGAGACAGAGCAGGGAAAAGAGGCGGGGUGUAGUGCUAUACAUCAAAGAGCAAUACAUGUCCUCAGUGAUCAGGAUGGGGUCAGAGAAGGGGCAAAAUGAGGUGCUCUGGGUAAGAAUGCAAGGGGCGGGGUGUGGGGAAAGGGACUCUACUACAGAGUCUACUAGUGGGCGUCUGCUGCAGACCACCUCACCAGGGGGAUGAGCCAGACCUGGAAUUCUCAGGUCAGCUCACGGAGGCUGUAAAGGCAAGGGAUGUGGGUGACCUAAGCUACCUAGACAUCUGCUGGGAGGAGCAGUCAGCCAGUUCCGACCACUCAUGUAGGUUCCUAGCCGGGAUACAGGACCUCCACCUAACUCAGGAGGUGCAUAGUCCCACCAGGGGAAAUGCCUUGCUGGACUUGGUCCUUGCCACAGGUGAUGACCUGGUGAUGGGUCUGCAGGUACUCGACCACCUGGGCAGCAGUGUUCAUUGCCUGCUGGAAUUUAAUAUCCAGCACAGGGUGGUGAAAGGCAGCAAGGCAGAGGUCCUUGACUUCAGGAAAGCCUACUUCUGUAAGCUAAAAAGGUUAGUAGGAGAGGCAUUGGGCUCUCGGAGCCUCAAUGAGAUGGGAGUCCAAGACGGGUGGUUGUUCCUCAAGGAGACAAUCCUCCAAGCUCAAAGGGAGCCAGUCCCAAUGCACCCCAAGGGGGGCAGAAGUGCUAAGAAGCCCCCAUGGCUCGGCAAAGGCAUCCUGAGGGCAAAAAAGGAGGUGUACAAACAGUGAAAGCAAGGGGCUAUCACCAAGAAGGGUUACACCUCUGUUGCUCAGGACUGCAGGGAGGCUGUUAGGAAGUCCAAGGCUGAGAUGGAGCUAUGGCUAGCAACCAGAAUUAAGGAUAAUAAAAAGUCCUUUUUCAAAUACAUAGGAAGACCAGGUAACAUGGGGCUCCUACAAGAUAGACUUGGCAAUCUGGUGAUUGCGGAAAACGAAAAAGCUGACUUCUUUACCAAAUUCUUUGCCUCCAUAUUCCUGAACAGGGACUGGGACAUCUCCCCCACUAGAAUGUGGACGGACCCAGGGGAGGCACCGCCAUGCCUAGAGUCAGGGACAACCUAGUUAGGGAACUUUUGGAGGGGCUGGAUGUGUUUAAAUCAGUAGGUCCGGAUGCCCUUCACCCGAGGGUGCUGAGGGAAUUGGUGGGGGUCAUAAUGGGGCCCCUGGCACAGCUCUAUGAGCACUUAUGGGGCACUGGCCAGGUACCAGAGGAUUGGAAAAGGGCUAAUGUGGUCCCCAUUUACAAGAAGGGGAGAAAGGAGGACCCCAGCAAUUAUAGGCCAGUCAGUCUUACCUCGGUCCUUGGGAAGACCUUUGAGAAAAUUAUCAAGGAGCACAUCUGCAAGGGCCAGCAGGGGAGGUAAUGCUCAGGGCCAACCAGCAUGGGUUCAUUGAGGUCAGGUCCUGCCUAACUAACCUGGUUUCUUUUUAUGAUCAGGUCACAAAGUCCCUGGACGAGGGUGUAGGGGUGGAUGUUAUCUUCCUGGACUUUAAGAAGGCCUUUGACAUCGUUUCCCACCACAUUUCUUAAAGAAACUUGGUGACUGUGGCAUUGAUGCCUACACAGUCAGAUGGGUGGUAAAUUGGCUAGAUGGUUGCACCUAGAGAGUGGUGGUGGACGGGUCGUUUCCAACCUGGAGGGAUGUGGGCAGUGGCGUCCGCCAGGGCUUGGUCCUGGGGCCUGUACUGUUCAACAUCUUUAUCAGUGAUCUGGAUGUGGAAUGCACACUGUCCAAAUUCGCUGACAACACCAAGUUGUGGGGCAAGGUAGACACACUGGAGGGGAGGGACAGAAUCCAGCUGGAUCUAGACAAAUUACAGAGGUGGGUGGAUAAGAAUAGGAUAGUGCAAUUCAACACAGACAAGUGCAGGGUGCUGCAUCUAGGGAGAAGGAACAAGCAACACACCUAUAGGCUAGGGAACACCCUUCUUGUCAACAUGGUGGCAGAAAGGGAUCUUGGAGUCAUUGCUGACUCCAGGAUGAAUGUGAGCUGCCAAUGAGAGGAAGCAGUCAGUAAGGCUAACUGCACCUUGUCGUGCAUCUACAGAUGCAUCACAAGCAGGUCCAGGGAGGUGAUCUUUCCCCUCUAUGCAGCAUUGGUCGGGCCACAGUUGGAGUAUUGUGUCGAGUUCUGGGCUCCACAGGAGGUGCACAGCCCCGCCAGGGGAGAUGCCUUGUUGUACCUGGUCCUGGCCAUGGGCGAUGACCUGGUCAGGGGUCUGCGAGUGCUCAACCACCUGGGUGACAGCGGUCAUUGCCUGCUUGAAUUCACCAUCCAGCGCAAGGUGGCAAAGGCCUGCAGCAAGGCAGCAACCCUGGACUUCAGGAGGGCGGACUUCAAUGAGAUAAGGAGAAUAGUCGGGGAGGCACUGAGGUCCCGGAGGGGAGGGGAGUCAGGUGUCCAAGAAGAGUGGUUGUUCCUUAAGGAGACGAUCCUCCAAGCCCAAAGGGAGGUAAUCCCAACAUGGAUCAAAGGGGGCAAGAGGGCACAAAAGCCCCCAUGGCUCACCAAAAGCAUACAGGAACGUCUCCUAGCUAAAAAGGAGGCGUACACCCAAUGGAAGGGAGGGGCCAUCACCAGGGAGGACUAUACCUGGGUUGCUCAGGGCUGUAGCGGGGAGGUCAGGAAGGCCAAGGCGGAGAUGGAACUGGGAGUAGCUACCCAGAUCAAGGACAACAAGAAGUCCUUUUUUAAAUACAUAGGGGGCAAAAAGAAGGUACCAGGUAACGUGGGGCCUCUGCAAGACACGUUAGGAAAUCUGGUCGUUGCACCAGAUGACAAAGCUAACCUAUUUAACAAUUUCUUGCCUCUAUUUUCCUAAGCAGGGACCGGGUCAUCCCCCCACCGGGACCUCCGUAGGCACCAGGGGAGGCGCACCCAGAACUAGGGUAAGUAAGGAUCUAGUCAGGGAACUUCUGGAGGGGCUGGAUGCAUUUAAAUCAGCUGGUCCUGACGAUCUCCAGCCCAGAGUGCUGAGGGAAUUAGCAGAGGUCAUUGCGGGACCCCUGGCAUGGCUUUACGAGCACUUGUGGUGCUCUGGUGUGGUGCCAGAGGACUGGAAAAGGGCCAAUGUGGUUCCCAUUUUCAAAAAAGGGAGGAAGAAGGACCCAGGAAACUAUAGGCCAGUUAGUCUUACCUCAGUCCUGGGUAAGCUUUUUGAGAAAAUUAUCCUGGCGCAUGUCCAUGAGGAGCCAGCAGGGGAGACUAUACUUAGGGGCAACCAACAUUGGUUCAUUCGAGGCAGGUCCUGUCAGACCAACCUGGUGGCCUUCUAUGACCAGGUCACCAAAUCCCUGGAUGCAGGUGUCACGGUGGAUAUAGUCUUUCUGGACUUUAGGAAGGCCUUCGACACUGUCUCUCACCCCAUUCUCAUUAAAAAACUAGGAGACUGUGGCGUCAACACCUACACAAUCAGAUAGAUCACUAACUGGCUGGAGGGCCGUACCCAGAGAGUGGUGGUGGAUGGGUCAUUUUCGACCCGGAGGGAUGUGGACAGUGGGGUCCCACAGGGCUCAGUCCUUGGGCCUGCACUGUUCAACAUCUUCAUCAGCGGCUUGGACAAGGGGGUAAAAAGCACCCUGUUCAAAUUCACAGAUGACACUAAGAUGUGGGGGGAAGUGGGCACACUAGAAGGGAGGAAUAGGCUGCAAUCGGACCUAGACAGGUUACAGGGGUGGGCGGAUGUGAACAGGAUGGGUUUCAACACUGACAAGUACAAGGUACUGCACCUGGGGAGGAAAAACCAGCAGCAUACCUACAGGCUGGGGAACUCCCUUCUUAUCAGUGCAGAGGCAGAAAAGGAUCUUGGUGUCAUUAUUGAUGCCAAAAUGAGCAUGGGCCGACAGUGUGGGGACACGGUCAGGAAGGCCAACCGCACCUUGUCAUGCAUCCACAGAUGCAUCUCAAGCAGGUCCAAGGAGGUGAUCCUCCCCCUCUAUGCGACUGGUCAGGCCGCAGUUGGGGUACUGCAUCCAGUUCUUGACGCCGCAUUUCAGGAGGGAUGUGGAUAACAUGGAGAGGGUCCAGAGGAGGGCCACUCGCAUGAUCGGGGGCAGCAGGGCAGACCCUACGAGGAGAGGCUAAGGGACCUGAACCUGUUCAGCCUUCACAAGAGAAGGCUGAGGGGGGAUCUGGUGGCCAUUUACAAACUCACAAGGGGGAACUAGUGGGAAUUGGGGGAAGCUCUGUUCCCCCAGGCAUUACUUGGGGUUACUAGGAAUAAUGGUAACAAAUUGUUAGAAGGUUCAGGCUGGACAUCAGGAGACAUUACUUUACAGUUAGGACUGCCAGGCUCUGGAAUGGGCUCCCAAGUGAGGUGGUGCUCUCUUCUACCUUGGGGGUCUUCAAGAGGAGGCUGGACAGAUAUUUGGCUGGGGUGAUAUGAUCCUGGCACCUGUUCCUGCAUGGGGCAGGGGGUCGGACCUGAUGAUCUGUUUAGGUCCCAUCUGACCCUAAGUACUAUGAUACUAAGUUUUUGUAGGUGAAAGCCUACUUUAUCAAAUGCUAUGAAUGGAGUUGCAGAAAACAUGAUUUCUAAAUAGAGGGGAAUUUAAAUAUAAAGGAUAGGGGGAGGGAGCCCUCCUGAGAGAGGUGAAAGUGGAUUGAAUAGGUCAAUAGGGAUAAACAAGACAGUUAACUGAUUGAGGGAGGUAGGGCUGAGAGUGUGGUUGGAUAGACAUGGAGGAGGGCACUUUGUGCCCAGAAGCUUGUCCAAUCUCUCUCCCAAGGAUACAGUUUGUCAAAUAAAAGAUACUGAAAAAUCCCUUGCUUCUGGACACAUUGGAUAACCACGAGAGGGAAGAGGAUGACAGCCAGCCAGACUAAGCAUACAUCCUCAAAGAAUAACAUGGACCAUCAGAAAAGACUUUUCUUGAUGAGCAGUCUUUGCAAUGCACUCUCUGAGAUCAGUUGUUAAGCCUUUGAAAGUUUAUAGCAAUGAGUAUAAAUAAUCAAAGUAUUGUAUGGUAUUUAUGAAAUAUAAAUAAUUGAUGUGGGAAGCUCAAGGUUUCAAUUAAAGCAACCUGUAGGCUAUAAAAUUAAGUUUGGGAUAAAGUAUUUUUUUAAAUAUAUUAUUCAAAGAAGUCCUAGAAAUGGCAUAGGUCCAUUACACUGCUGCAUUUAUUCAAUCAGCAUGGGGGAAAAAGCCCCUCAUUUUAUAUAGGUGUAACAACCACACACUCCUGUGCUGUGUAUGGCAGUGUGUGUCCUUUUGGUUGUGUAUUGUGGUUUUUUUCUGUAUGUAUCUUUUUUUUCCUCUUUCCUUUUCUCUGGCCUGUUGCUGAGGAGAAAACAUGCACUCUGGCUAUGUGGGCAAGAGGUCCCCUGUUGUUCUGGCCACAUGGUCUGCAGAUGGAAAGCUGGGGCCUUCUAUCUGGGUAAGAUAUGUAAAAUCCUCUAGCCUGAUUGGUCAGGGCGAGCAAAGAAAAGACUUUUUCAGGCAGAUGGGUUGAGAGAGAGACUGGAGUGUGCCACCCCCUGACUGGACAGUGAUGUCAUGCUAAGGGAUAUAAGGUCAGCUAGGCUGUUUGGGGAAGAGGAGAAGUUGCUAAGGGCUGCUGAAGAGUAAUGUCCUUUCCAAGGGAGAAGGACUCUCAGGUAGAGGAGAGAGAGAAGGAGACUUGUCACAGUGUCUGGAAACUCCUCUCCUCCUUUUCUUCCUUCUUUUCUGAGGUUUUAAGGGAUUAAUACUGGGGAGGAGGGUAUUGGUUCCUUGUGUUGGCUGGCCAGGAAUUAGGCCUGGUAAUUUGAAACAGGGUUGAAAUUUGGGAGUUUCUAAUCCUGCCGUCUUUGAACUGGGGUUGAGGUUUACAGCUUUCUGCUCUCAGUGGAGCCGUGUGACUCAAACUACCUGCAGCCCAGGCCUAGAGGGUAGGCCUGGCUUUUCCUCUUUGUUUCUUUUGCUGGUCCUUUGCUCCAGCCAAGCUGUGUGGUUGGGGCCAGCUGUAGCCAGUAAUCAACCUGACUCCCUUUUGGGUUUGUCCUACACUUUCCAUUUCAGCAGGCUGUAUAAUCCAGCCAAGAAGUUUUGGGGUGUCUGCAUGCUGGCUGGAACUGCAGUCACCUCCCAUCACACACACACACUCAUAUGCAGCCUCUCUAUGGGAGCAAAGAUUGGCUCUCUACCACUUCUCUAGGAGUGAUGAGGGGCCCCUUGCACCACAACUAAACUGCCGACCACAAACAGCUUCCUGAUGCGUGGUGAACCCCAAUUAUAAGACCACUCUGGCAUGAACCCAGGAACUAACCCUUUGGGGAACCCCAAGUCCCAGACUGGCCUGGCCUGGAGU